GCAGGUCAAGUUAGAAACGUUUUUUUCUGUUCCCAAAGGAAAUUGCCUACGUCUAGAAGAAAAGCAUUUUCUCUGCGAAUGAAUCGAGGUGCUGCCAUGACGCCCUUUUUCUUAGCACCUCCCUGACACAUCAUCCAGAAAAAAGCAGACGACGUGUGCGCAGGAAAGUUGUAACGUUUGGGAAUCUGGGACAUGUAGUUUUUCUAUCGUGAGUGAAUUAGAAAUGUACAGACCAACCAGUUGUCUAAAUAUUCUAUAAUACAAAAGCUGUCUCGUCAGCUAAUACAGCUGUCACAUAUUUAGAUACCUAAGUAUUAGGUAAUCUACCAUAGUUUGUGUGACCCACGCAACACCCACUUUUAAUACUACAAUAUUCCACACACUACAAGGAUUAUUUGUAGGUUAGUUACUUGACUUAACUGUAUUUAAGUUCUUAUCUUCAUCUUGUAAGCUCAAUCAGCACCUUGCAUUGCUUUAUGUUUUGUUAAUAGGCUAUUAAAGCUGAUAAGAGUUAUUUUGGAGUUCUAUUGAUUGGAAUGUUUCCAGUGGAGAGAAGGGGGGUUACAAUGACGAUGUAAUGAUUGGUAAUAGGAUAAAUCCGAAUUAAUGUUCCCACUCAUGUAUAAAAGACCAAGUGACAAAACACAACAAAUAUUGAAAGCACACACAGUUGUUAACAACAACAGUUAAUGCAACUCAAAAGUAAACGGUAAUUCUCUAUUUUCGUGUGUCCCUCAGAAACAUUGCCAUCACCCUUACGCAGGGACUCUGUCAUUCCGCGCAACAUUUGCGGACCAAGGAAUGUAGACUACUUGUUGCGAACCAUACGGCGGCGUCAGUGUCCUAAAGCUGUCAAAUGCUGCGCAUGCACAACCUAUUGGUGUCUUCACUCAGUGGAAACCUGCCUAAUCCAUCACACCAAAAUAACGGAGGGAGAAAAGACUAGGGAGGAGUCUCCGCCAGCAGGCUACGCGACUGGACUGCCCGAGUGCCUCCGCGCGCUGAGGGCGGAGCCCCACGAAUCAUAACAAGUCGGACGUCAGUGCUGUGGUGGGUAUAACAUAAAUGGUAAACAUUGGUCGCGUCGACCAAUAAAUCAGGUUUUAUUUUGUACAGCAAUUAACUUUUUUUAUUUUAUUUUUAAAGCUGAUGCACUUCAGUAGUUACACAUUUCAAUAAAGUAUUACAUUCAUGAGGUGAGAAUUAUCUUUUAAUAAUGUAAAAAUACUUAAUUCUGUAAAUGUAUAAUUAUUGUAGCUUGGUUGCCAAUAUGUAUAGCAUGUAUUGCACACUCCUUGAACUCCCAUAUUAUGUGCCAAAGAGUAGCAUGUAGUGGAAUGUUAGCUAAUUAAACUGGUACUCAGUGACUAUUUCAGGUAAAUUCAGUGCUCUGUUUAACCGAUAGAUAACCUUAUUUUCAAUAGUUCCUCAUGCAAAUUCAUUCUCAUCCUUGUAACUUGAUACCAUGAACAACAUGUGUAUAAAGAGAUAUGCCCAACCCUAAACAAUGUUGUGUGAUUCCUGCCUAUUUAUAGCAUGUUUUGGCAUUGUUCAAUCUGUAAUAGAAUUUGUUAAUGACUAGAGAUAUUAUUGUUCAUAAAGGCUCCUAGUCCUGUGUGUGUGUGUGUGUGUGUGUGUGUGUAUGUGUGCGCGUGUGUGCUUGCGGGGCCCUGGGCCCUGACAUCAUGAAGAUGGAUGACAUCCUGGCAGGGCGUUGGGUUGUACCUCGCCUACCACAGCUCAUACUAGCCUGUGCUGGAACUAACUGGGCUGCUGUCUUUUGCCUCUCGUCUCCUGUCUGCUAGACAUUACAUCCAGGCUGCCCUGGUUCAGUUAUCACUGUGCUGAUGCUGUCCAUCUUAAAGGUACAGUACUGUGAUAACUGAAGGAUGGCUGCCACCUUGACACACUUGACUCUCAUGAAAUGGAGUGAUGGAUGAAGGGAAAUGGUGCUGCUGUAUCCGAGGUGAGGUUUAGAAUGGGUAAAGGACAAAAUCUUUUGUCUAAGUUAAUUACAUGUUAGAUAUUAAAUGUUCUUUUGAUUUACUUUUGUAAAAUGACGUACUUUUAAGUUUUUAUUGUAAAUACGUUUUUUUUUUUAAGUCAACAAUAAUUCUGUUUAAUAUGACUAGAAUUGCUUUUUCUGUUUGGAAUGUUUGGUAGUCAUGUUUCACUGUAAUGGAAAAUAAAUUGCAAGUACAAAAUAAAUGGGGAGGAAAACAAUGUUGUCAAAAAUCUUGUUAUUUCUAAUACUAAUGAUGUGUGACCUCUUAAGAAUUUUA
ensembl:lncRNA